GAGCAACGCCGCGUGAGUGAAGAAGGUUUUCGGAUCGUAAAGCUCUGUCGUUGGGGACGAAUGUAGUGAUUGUGAAUAAUGAUUGCUAAUGACGGUACCGAACAAGAAAGCCACGGCUAACUACGUGCCAGCAGCCGCGGUAAUACGUAGGUGGCGAGCGUUGUCCGGAAUUAUUGGGCGUAAAGGGAGCGCAGGUGGGAUAUUAAGUCUGUUUUAAAAGUGCGGGGCUCAACCCCGUGAGGGGAUGGAAACUAAUAUUCUUGAGUGCAGGAAAGGAAAGUGGAAUUCCUAGUGUAGCGGUGAAAUGCGUAGAUAUUAGGAGGAAUACCA
rnacentral:rRNA from 1 species